rnacentral:rRNA from 1 species
UACGUAGGUCCCGAGCGUUGUCCGGAUUUAUUGGGCGUAAAGCGAGCGCAGGUGGUUUAUUAAGUCUGGUGUAAAAGGCAGUGGCUCAACCAUUGUAUGCAUUGGAAACUGGUAGACUUGAGUGCAGGAGAGGAGAGUGGAAUUCCAUGUGUAGCGAUGAAAUGCGUAGAUAUAUGGAAGAACACCAGUGGCGAAAGCGGCUCUCUGGUCUGUAACUGACGCUGAGGUUCGAAAGCGUGGGUAGCAAACAGG